rnacentral:rRNA from 1 species
AGUGAACGCUGGCGGUAGGCCUAACACAUGCAAGUCGAACGGCAGCACAGUAAGAUCUUGCUCUUACGGGUGGCGAGUGGCGGACGGGUGAGGAAUACAUCGGAAUCUACUUUUUCGUGGGGGAUAACGUAGGGAAACUUACGCUACUACCGCAUACGACCUACGGGUGAAAGCAGGGGAUCUUCGGACCUUUCGCGUUUGUAUGAGCCGAUGUCGGAUUAGCUAGUUGGCGGGGUAAAGGCCCACCAAGGCGACGAUCCGUAGCUGGUCUGAGAGGAUGAUCAGCCACACUGGAACUGAGACACGGUCCAGACUCCUACGGGAGGCAGCAGUGGGGAAUAUUGGACAAUGGGCGAAAGCCUGACGCAGCAAUACCGCGUGAGUGAAGAAGGCCUUCGGAUUGUAAAGCCCUUUUGUUGGGAAAGAAAAGCAGCAGGUUAAUACCCCGCUGUUCUGACGGUACCCAAAGAAUAAGCACCGGCUAACUUCGUG